CAGUCGAACGGACUUUUCAUGAAGCCUAGCGAUUGAAAAGUUAGUGGCGGACGGGUGAGUAACGCGUGGGUAACCUGCCUUGUACUGGGGGACAACAGUUGGAAACGACUGCUAAUACCGCAUAAGCGCACAGCUUCGCAUGAAGCAGUGUGAAAAACUCCGGUGGUACAAGAUGGACCCGCGUCUGAUUAGCUGGUUGGUGAGGUAACGGCCCACCAAGGCGACGAUCAGUAGCCGGCCUGAGAGGGUGAACGGCCACAUUGGGACUGAGACACGGCCCAAACUCCUACGGGAGGCAGCAGUGGGGAAUAUUGCACAAUGGGGGAAACCCUGAUGCAGCAACGCCGCGUGAGUGAAGAAGUAUUUCGGUAUGUAAAGCUCUAUCAGCAGGAAAGAAAAUGACGGUACCUGACUAAGAAGCCCCGGCUAACUACGUGCCAGCAGCCGCGGUAAUACGUAGGGGGCAAGCGUUAUCCGGAUUUACUGGGUGUAAAGGGAGCGUAGACGGUUUUGCAAGUCUGAAGUGAAAGCCCGGGGCUUAACCCCGGGACUGCUUUGGAAACUGUAGAACUAGAGUGCAGGAGAGGUAAGUGGAAUUCCUAGUGUAGCGGUGAAAUGCGUAGAUAUUAGGAGGAACACCAGUGGCGAAGGCGGCUUACUGGACG
rnacentral:rRNA from 1 species